rnacentral:rRNA from 1 species
UACGUAGGGUGCGAGCGUUGUCCGGAAUUACUGGGCGUUAAGAGCUCGUAGGUGGUUUGUCGCGUUGUUCGUGAAAACUCACAGCUCAACUGUGGGCGUGCGGGCGAUACGGGCAGACUGGAGUACUGCAGGGGAGACUGGAAUUCCUGGUGUAGCGGUGGAAUGCGCAGAUAUCAGGAGGAACACCGGUGGCGAAGGCGGGUCUCUGGGCAGUAACUGACGCUGAGGAGCGAAAGCGUGGGGAGCGAACAGG